CGCGUAGGCGGCCCGGUAAGUCCGCUGUAAAAGUCCAGGGCUCAACCCUGGAAAGCCGGUGGAUACUGUCGGGCUCGAGUCCGGAAGAGGCGAGUGGAAUUCCUGGUGUAGCGGUGGAAUGCGCAGAUAUCAGGAGGAACACCGAUGGCGAAGGCAGCUCGCUGGGACGGUACUGACGCUGAGGCGCGAAAGCGUGGGGAGCGAACA
rnacentral:rRNA from 1 species